GUCACCGCCCUCAGCCCGCAAGGCUCGCGUGGCACGCCGGGAAAUGGAGUCCACAGAGGGCCGAGCAGCCCCUAAAGAUGACAGGUCGCGCUGCCCGUCGGGAAACGGAGUCCUGAAUAAUCCGGCGGCCGCCUGUGCCCACAGCGGACCCUAAAGGACUUUGGAAGAGUCAGAGACGCACACUCGGCCCACUGCGGCAACGACGAGCCCUUAAGUGGGCCUCAGAAACGCAGCCGCAGCCACUCCAUCCCUGAGCGGUGUAGGCCUGAUGCAUGCCGGUAAAUGGAGUCCAAUCGUUCACUUUAGUCUAUUGGCUCCUGGUGUCUACCGGCGCCAGAUGCACGCUGGGAAACCGAGUCGGCGUCCAUGAACGCGCAGCCCUCUGGCCGCGAGGCCAGCCGGGAAAUGGAGUCGUCGCCACGCCCUCACCGCAUUGCGGGUGUGAAGCGGGCGCCAAAGCACGCCGGGAAAUGGAGUCCUAGGUGGGUUGCAAGUCCCCAGUGGAUGCUGCAGUUCCGGAGACAGGCCAGGAAAUGGAGUAGGUGUCGCGCUCCCCUUCCCAGUGACGCCAUCCCCUUCUCCACCACCCCACCACCGACUCAGCUGCAUCUGCGUUGCCAGGAGACAUGCCUCAUCCCACUUCCAGAAAUAGCCCAGCGGCCCCCACCCCAGGGACUGUCUUACAUCACCCAGGAGAGGGAGCAGUUGCCUGCGAGCCACCCCGGGAGCCCCGCUUUCCUGCCAGUACCCCAGCCUGGAUCCUCUCUUCAGUGCCAACCCACAUCAUCGGGGACCACCCACCGGGGGCCUGGCAUGAGCCGAGCACUGAGCAGCUGCCAGUCAGCGUGCCUUCCCCCUCUGGUGAAGCCAGUCCGACAGGCCCUGAGCCCUCUGUUCCCACUGCUCCUUGCAGCUGGCCUUGGGGGAAAACCCUUUCCCUCUCUAGGCCUCAGGCACCUCACCUGCACUGAGGGGCCGGGCCUGUCUAGUGCUCUUCCAGCCAGGAAUGCGCGCGUCCCUUUCAUCCCGACUCCAGCUCUCCAAUCUGGACUUCAGACUUUAUGAGCUCAUCGCUCAGAUCCUAUGAUCUCUAGACCCUGAUCUGGAUCCAGCCAUCUUGUCUCUGGGGAGGAAAAUUCAGUUCUUCAAAGAACCCGGGCUUUGGAUCAGCCGCCUCUGAGUUGUGACUCAGCCUCAGGGCCCUGGGCAAGUCGUGAGCUUACACCACUGCCCGACUGGAUCCUGAAGAAAACUAAACACAGCAGCUCUCAAGUUCUGGACGCGUGGCGAGUAAUUUCUAAACUUUUUAUUUGAAAAGGCAAACAGAUCUUCCAUCUGCUGGUUCACUCCCCCAAAUACCUACUAGGCUGAAGCCAAGAGCCCUGACCUCAAUCUGGUCUCCCAAGCGGUCACCCAACCAUUGGAGCCAUCAGAGGGACAUGGGAUAAGGGAGGCAGGUGUCUCCACAUCGAAACUGCUGGCUGAGGCUGUGCACAGCACAUCAGCUGGGGGCAGCUAGGACUGUAGCGCCAGUCCCUUCCCAACGUGCUGGCUGGACCAGAGCGUCGCUGAAUCCCACAUUCCAACACACUGCAGGCCCCACCUCCAAAGCACACCCAGCUUAACUUAAAGACAUGGGAAGGGCGCUGGAGGCAGCAUGGCCUUGGCUGAGGGUCCAGGUAGCAAACCCAAGAUAGUUCGGGCAGUAUAGCAGGGACAGCGGGCCUGGGAGGGGCGGAAAGAGCUCCUGAAGACACGCAUACAGUCACGGGGUGGAGGGCAGACAUGUGACCAGGGCUGAUGUGACACCCACCUAUCAGACCACUUCCCCAGGCAUUCCGAUGAGGUUAGGUGCUCUGGCCACUGACCCAGGGGACGGCCUGGACCUGUCCAGCAACAAGCAAAGGCCACGAGCCUGCCACGGCCGCACCGAGUACUUGGCACAGAUCAGUGCAUCCAAAGGUCCAAAGUUUUAUUGUUUUGAAUACAUUCUCCAGAAGUCCCCUACUCCCCCCCACCCCCAGUACAGAAUAAGGCUUAGACCAGAGCUCCCCCCACCCCACCCAGGGGCCCCAGCUGGGAGGCAGAGGGGGCUUCCAGUUUGGUUUUGGGCAGCCCCUUCCCAUCCCCCCACCCGCCUGCCCAGGGCCAGUCCUAGGAGCAGCUGGGGGUGAAGGGGUUGGACCAGUGCUGUGGUGGGGGCGGGACAAGGAGAGUAGGCACUUGAGACUUGUGGCCCAUGGGGGUACCCCUCACCCUACUGUCCCCCCAGCCCUCCCCCACAGAAUUUUUGGUUCAUCAUAAAACUGUCCCUCCCCUGCUGCAACACUGUGGGAUAUGAGAAACCCAGGCACUCACGGCCCCUGCAGGGGCCAGGAAAGCAGGGCUGGGGGCGGGGGGGAGGCAGAGGA